rnacentral:rRNA from 1 species
GACGAACGCUGGCGGCGUGCCUAAUACAUGCAAGUCGAACGCACGAAGUUGAAGAGCUUGCUCUUUAACCAAGUGAGUGGCGGACGGGUGAGUAACACGUGGGUAACCUACCCAUUAGAGGGGGAUAACAUUCGGAAACGGAUGCUAAUACCGCAUAGUUUCAGGAAUCGCGUGAUUCGUGAAGGAAAGGUGGCUUCGGCUACCACUAAUGGAUGGACCCGCGGCGUAUUAGCUAGUUGGUGAGGUAAUGGCUCACCAAGGCAAUGAUACGUAGCCGACCUGAGAGGGUGAUCGGCCACACUGGGACUGAGACACGGCCCAGACUCCUACGGGAGGCAGCAGUAGGGAAUCUUCCGCAAUGGACGAAAGUCUGACGGAGCAACGCCGCGUGAGUGAAGAAGGUUUUCGGAUCGUAAAACUCUGUUGUUAAAGAAGAACAAGGAUGAGAGUAACUGCUCAUCCCCUGACGGUAUUUAACCAGAAAGCCACGGCUAACUACGUGCCAGCAGCCGCGGUAAUACGUAGGUGGCAAGCGUUGUCCGGAUUUAUUGGGCGUAAAGCGAGCGCAGGCGGUUCUUUAAGUCUGAUGUGAAAGCCCCCGGCUCAACCGGGGAGGGUCAUUGGAAACUGGAGAACUUGAGUGCAGAAGAGGAGAGUGGAAUUCCACGUGUAGCGGUGAAAUGCGUAGAUAUGUGGAGGAACACCAGUGGCGAAGGCGACUCUCUGGUCUGUAACUGACGCUGAGGCUCGAAAGCGUGGGGAGCAAACAGG